ACCCCUCGUAAAAGUUGACAAAAGUUUUAUGCAUUACCUUUGUCUACAUCUUUGCAGAGCUUCAGUUAACGGCGAUGUGGACACGCAGGGUAGUGGCUCAGACAACAGUCUAUGGAUUGAGUCGCUCCCUUUCAUUUUGGGUGGUUGUUGGUUAUACCACUCGCAUAGAUAUGGUGUUGCUGUCGUUAUGCCAGACACCGCUGGAGCAAAAGGGUAUUAAUGUCAUAAAGAAUCGUGUCCAAUGUAAACUUUCCCCUACCC
rnacentral:lncRNA from 1 species